rnacentral:rRNA from 1 species
GAUGAACGCUGGCGGCGUGCCUAAUACAUGCGGGUCGAGCGAACAGAUGAGGAGCUUGCUCCUCUGACGUUAGCGGCGGACGGGUGAGUAACACGUGGAUAACCUACCUAUAAGACUGGGAUAACUUCGGGAAACCGGAGCUAAUACCGGAUAAUAUAUUGAACCGCAUGGUUCAAUAGUGAAAGACGGUUUUGCUGUCACUUAUAGAUGGAUCCGCGCCGCAUUAGCUAGUUGGUAAGGUAACGGCUUACCAAGGCAACGAUGCGUAGCCGACCUGAGAGGGUGAUCGGCCACACUGGAACUGAGACACGGUCCAGACUCCUACGGGAGGCAGCAGUAGGGAAUCUUCCGCAAUGGGCGAAAGCCUGACGGAGCAACGCCGCGUGAGUGAUGAAGGUCUUCGGAUCGUAAAACUCUGUUAUUAGGGAAGAACAAAUGUGUAAGUAACUAUGCACGUCUUGACGGUACCUAAUCAGAAAGCCACGGCUAACUACGUG